rnacentral:rRNA from 1 species
UCUCCGGAGGGAAGCGAGUGGCGAACGGCUGAGUAACACGUGGAGAACCUCGCCCCCCUCCCCCCGGGAUAGCCGCCCGAAAGGACGGGUAAUACCGGAUACCCCCGGGCGCCGCAUGGCGCCCCGGGCUAAAGCCCCGACGGGAGGGGAUGGCUCCGCGGCCCAUCAGGUAGACGGCGGGGUGACGGCCCACCGUGCCGACAACGGGUAGCCGGGUUGAGAGACCGACCGGCCAGAUUGGGACUGAGACACGGCCCAGACUCCUACGGGAGGCAGCAUG